CCCUUUAGACUGGGAUAACAGAGGGAAACUUCUGAUAAUACUGGAUAAGUUAGUAUAUCGCAUGAUAUGCAAAUGAAAGCUACGGCACUAAAGGAGAGCUUUGCGUCCUAUUAGCUAGUUGGUAAGGUAAGAGCUUACCAAGGCGAUGAUAGGUAGCCGGCCUGAGAGGGUGGACGGCCACAAGGGGACUGAGAUACGGCCCUUACUCCUACGGGAGGCAGCAGCG
rnacentral:rRNA from 1 species